UAGAUGUUGUAAUAUCAAAAUUUAUAAAUAUGGCUUUUUUGAUCUAUUUGGGGAAUAAACAUCUAUCACUAAUCUAAAUUUAAAAAUGUAUUGCAAGAGUUUAAGUUUUCUUUUGGUUUUCAAAAACAUUGCAAGUCUGUACAAUUUGUUCUUGACAUUUCAUAAUAUCAUGUCUUUCUGUGCUGUUUGUGAAGAAUUUGUACGCAAUCUUCUAGGAAGUACCAUCAUCAUUAUAACUGUGUAGAAUGGUAUGAUUUCAUAUAUCAGCAGGUUAAGAACUUUAAGAACUUUUCAGUAAUCGAAUACUCUUUUAUACGGUGUAAUAAUGUCUUUUAUUGUUUUGUUUGUACUCGUGGGUUUAUUAUUUAUUAUGCCAAUAUUUCAGAGUAAAUACGAUUUGUUAUGAAGGUUUUUUAUGUAUCUUUUGUAAGUUCACUGAUGGAGAGUACACGAGAGAUGGUCGAGAUUUCAAAAGACUUGUUUAAACCAGCCACAUAUUUAUAUGCCUGGCAGAUCUUUGAUAGUUGCUGUAUAACUUAGUCACAACUUUGCUAAACUUGAGGCGACUAAGCCCUUGAUAUAUUGUACGGACAGCUGUCUAUUUUUGAAAACUUAUUUGCUUGGUUUAUAAAGUUUGGAUAGUACAAACGACUAACAGUGGUUUAUCAAGUUUGGAUAGUACAAACGACUAACAGUGGAUUAUCAAAGAGAAACAAUAAAAAGCCAGAAACAAAUAUUGCAGUCAGAAACCAACGGCAAUCAAUGAUUUCCAGGCUCCUGACGGUUUUGUUGGGUUUUAUUGAAUAACAAAUGUAUGUUCGUUUAAACAUGGCGAAUUAGAACAUACAACUAUUUUGUUUAAUGGCAGUUAAUAAUAAUGAUUUAUAUUGUACAUUGUUCAAAAAAUUACUUGUUAACGGGAAAUGUAGUGAAAAUUUAGAUUCAAGAUUUUAACAUUUAUUUUAGAAAAUUUGUUUUUAUUAAGUUAUCAUAAAACAGUUUUCAUUUUGAA